GAUGAACGCUGGCGGCGUGCCUAAUACAUGCAAGUCGAGCGAACAGACGAGGAGCUUGCUCCUCUGACGUUAGCGGCGGACGGGUGAGUAACACGUGGAUAACCUACCUAUAAGACUGGGAUAACUUCGGGAAACCGGAGCUAAUACCGGAUAAUAUAUUGAACCGCAUGGUUCAAUAGUGAAAGACGGUUUUGCUGUCACUUAUAGAUGGAUCCGCGCCGCAUUAGCUAGUUGGUAAGGUAACGGCUUACCAAGGCAACGAUGCGUAGCCGACCUGAGAGGGUGAUCGGCCACACUGGAACUGAGACACGGUCCAGACUCCUACGGGAGGCGGCAGUAGGGAAUCUUCCGCAAUGGGCGAAAGCCUGACGGGGCAACGCCGCGUGAGUGAUGAAGGUCUUCGGAUCGUAAAACUCUGUUAUUAGGGAAGAACAAAUGUGUAAGUAACUAUGCACGUCUUGACGGUACCUAAUCAGAAAGCCACGGCUAACUACGUG
rnacentral:rRNA from 1 species